AAUACAUGGAUGGAAUUUAACCAACUACAAUCUACUUAUCAAGAAGACCCCUCUUCACGAGACAUGUCU
rnacentral:tRNA from 1 species